UCCUAUUUCCUUUUCUCUUCAGCUCAAAACAACAGAGAGGAAUCGAGUGGAGAAAUCGAGAGAAACCAGAGAUCAAACCAAAAGUAUUAAGCUGAUUUGUCAUUUUGUAAACCUAGAAAGUGGUAUCAAAACCCUAUUUUACAGAAUCGAGAGAAACCAAAUUAAUUUUUUCUUUUAGCAUGAAACCCUCAUAAGAAAAUUCAAUUGAAGAAGUAAAAACCCUAGAAGAUCUCUAACCUAAAAAAAAAUGCUUGGGUUGCAGUUAAAUCGUGCAUUUGUGCCAGAACUGGUUAAUAUAUGUUUAUAUACAUAUGUGUAUAUAUCCACUGAACGUAGAAGUACUGUAUUGGGUAUGUGGGUACCCUUCUUGCAUCUGCCUCUUUCUUAUUUCACCGCUUGUUUAAGUGUCAAGUAUUAUUACCUAGUUUUUCACACGGAUGUACGAAUAAUGGAAGAGAAUAACGCAAGAUAAUAGCACAACUAUCUAUUCCAGUCAACUGUUAAUUUCUGACAAUUACAUUUAUUUCUUUCUGAGGUGGUGCAUGGAGACGAAGACAGGAAAUCAAAGGAUACUAUGAAAAAGAAAAAGGAAAGUCUUUACACAUUGAUUGCUAUCUUUGAGAGUAUCAAAUGCUCAGAAGAUGUACUUUAUGUAAGGCGUCAAUUAAUUCGCUUGCAAUAUGCGACUUUGGAAUGUUAACUAUCAAACGCCUGUCUCUAAAGCAGUAUGCACUGCGGUCCGAAAAAUUAGUUCCCUUACCUGCAGAACUGUACAAACCAUGUUAGAAGAAGCUGGAGGCCCAAUAUCUGAGAUACAGAAACUAGAAUGAAAGGAGAUGAACUCAUUCGUUCACGCUGGACUCAAAAUUCUUGAAAAUGAAGAUGGUGAAGUUUUAUGGGUAAAAUGCUACUCAACUGUGUCGAGUUUUCUUUAAGUUUUCAGGUUGUGCAAGUCCUUAGGGAAUUAUCAGUUGUGCAUGUGCUUAGAGCUGUAGGAUUCAUGGGCAAAUACUUGAGAUUCCAAAGUCUUCUUACAUCCAGAAAGAGUCGACUCUACAGCUUGUUUUGAGGCUACGUGGUGGGAUUAUUGAACCAUCUUAUUUGAUGGCUUUAGCAAGGAAGUAGAACCAGGACAAGAUGAUCUCACGCAAAUGAUAUGCACGUCUUCGUCCUCGUUGAUAUUGCUCAAGUUAACUCUUGUGUUCAUUUGCUUGUUUGAACUGCAGUUGAGGCCAAAGAAAAAGAUCAAGUAGAUGCAAUCCUGAAUUUUGGUCUAAUUUCAGUCCCUGUUCUUAUGGAAAUAUCGGAACGAGAUGCUCCAGUUAAUGUGGCAUUAAAUCAAGAAGACAAUUGGAUAGGCAUAAUAGGAAUUUAGUGAACAAGUUACUGACUAGACAAAUCUUCAAAAGAAGAAAAGGGAAGCUUUAUGUUAGGUGGUGUUGGACUAAAGAAAAGUGAAAAGAUCGAAACAAGAUGCUCUAGUAAAGGUGCCAUUAUAAGGAAAUCAAGAAGACAGUUGGAUAAGCAUAACACGAUUUGAGUGAACAAGUUAGGUAAUUUCUUAUUUCUUAAAUUCUUGUAGAAAAUGUAUCCGCUGCCUAUGCACGAUGAAGUCCAGUAACAUUGAUUGAACAAGAAACCCAAAAUAUGCUCAAUUUUGAUCCCAAAUUGUAGAGACAAACUUGUUAUCCAUAGUUUAUUUUGUUAAAAUUCAGUCAUCCUACAUCUGUAAUUGUAUUGAUUGAUUGUAAGGAUGGAUCCAUAUG